AUUGAACGCUGGCGGCAGGCCUAACACAUGCAAGUCGAACGGUAACAGGAAGCAGCUUGCUGCUUCGCUGACGAGUGGCGGACGGGUGAGUAAUGUCUGGGAAACUGCCUGAUGGAGGGGGAUAACUACUGGAAACGGUAGCUAAUACCGCAUAACGUCGCAAGACCAAAGAGGGGGACCUUAGGGCCUCUUGCCAUCGGAUGUGCCCAGAUGGGAUUAGCUAGUAGGUGGGGUAACGGCUCACCUAGGCGACGAUCCCUAGCUGGUCUGAGAGGGUGACCAGCCACACUGGAACUGAGACACGAUCCAGACUCCUACGGGAGGCAGCAGUGGGGAAUAUUGCACAAUGGGCGCAAGCCUGAUGCAGCCAUGCCGCGUGUAUGAAGAAGGCCUUCGGGUUGUAAAGUACUUUCAGCGGGGAGGAAGGGAGUAAAGUUAAUACCUUUGCUCAUUGACGUUACCCGCAGAAGAAGCACCGGCUAACUCCGUG
rnacentral:rRNA from 1 species